AUAAAACCUAUCCUAUAACACACAUAACAAAAGAUUGGUAUCCAUUGUUCAGUGAGAACUACAAAUCACCAACCAAAACAGACAAUCUAAUAAAAAAUUGAUGAAAAUAUGAAGAAGCAAUACAAAGUAAAAAUGGCCAAUAAGAUAUAAAAGACUAAAAAGCUACUGACGCUCACAAAAAUAGAAUUAAUACCAACAAAUUAAUGCCAUAGAGAAGAUUUGCACCCCAUAAAAACCUGAGAAAUCUAUUUUUGAGGGAGUAUAAUUUGAAAUAACACUCAAAUAAAAUGUAAAUAUGCCAUUUGAAACUGAAGUUUUAUAUAUAGAGAUCUGUCAUGCAGAAAUCCUUGCAUAUAAGCACAUGAAUGAACUAAAUUUCUCCAGCACUUAAAUGGCUUUCAGUCAAUGAACACGUGUACCUCCAACAAAUGUUUGAAUGUAGCCAUUGCAGAGAACAGGCUGAUUAUCACAUUACGAAACAGAAAAAGUAGUUUCCAGAAAAACAAAUAAGUAUUUUUUGUAAUAAAAUAUAUGUAAGCUAGUACAAAGAAGAAAGAAUCUCGAAAAAUACGUGUAAUUCCAAGGAUGAGAAUUUAAAUUUUUAUUCUAUACAAAUCUGCAAUGUUUAACUUUACACAACAUUUUCAUGUAUUAAUUAUGAGAUUUAAAAUUUAAUUUGUGGAAUAAACACAUUAAUUCAAGACAGGA
rnacentral:lncRNA from 10 species